rnacentral:ribozyme from 1 species
AACGACGAGCUGUUCAAAACAAAAAAAAAGAAACAGCUGUAAAUCUUAGUAUGAUGGCAGAUUCUAUGUAUGAUCAGGCUCCAGCACCUCUUGCUCGUACUCUUUCAACAGGCAGUAUUGACAGUGUUGUACCACCUCCUUUG